AGCAUUACUGAAAUCCGGAAAUGUUCAGAUCAUUUUUCCUUUUCCUUUUCUCUGUUUCAAGGUUCCGUCUGGGAGCCGUGGUGCCAACCCAUUGUGAGAAAAAUGGCUGUUCCCAGUAUCUUCAGUUGGCACCGGAAGGACCAGUUCUAGGAAUUCUCCCAGGGAAGCUGCUUUUUAUACCUCUGCUCUAAUUUUAGAGACAAGAGGUUUGGAUAAUGUGAACAUGCAUCCACCUUACAAGAGGUUUCUAUAAACUGAACUUGAAUGGAGCCUUUCAAGGGUCAUGUUUGUCUCACUGAAGGUCUGGAUUUCAAAUGAAGGGCUUUAUAAACAUCAGUCAUUCCUGAUUUCUCCAUUUAAAGUGGCUGUGACAGAAUCAAGUUCCAAAUUGCCGGUUAUGGGAAAGAGUUUUUACAAAUUAGGAGAGCCUGUGAAUAUGAACAGAAAAGAAGGACAAGGAUAUCUCAGUUUCUCUUUCCACCAAAGCUAGGAGCUGAGUCCCACGUGAUUAAGUGACUUGAUUGCUCCAAACAGUGCUUAUUAACUACAACCAACAAAAAAUGGCUGCAUUUUGUGAAUCAGUCUCCACAUCUGUAAUUACUAAGGACUUUGUUAGCUGGGUCUCCCAGUGUAGCUCCCCUGUGACCAGAGAUCUUUGUCAUGAGCCUGGCUGGCCUCCCAGCACCACCUACUUCCAUCUGAGCUGGAUGCCACGAGAUCCCACCCAAAAGAGUCAAGCCUCCCUUGGAACAAUGAGCAAUUCUUGGGAGACGCCACUGGAACGCGACUGCCGUGGCACAGGAAGGCUGAUAACAUCUCCCGAGCCACAGCGGCCCUUUGUGUCGGCAGACACAAGUGGGAUGUUCCUUCUUAAGCUUUCCAGAGCCAGGAGGAAGUGGGCCUUGAAACACAAUGCUCAUUGAAAUUGGCUUUCAUCUGGGGGCUUUCGCAGCGUAAGCGCCGCAUGGUGAUGUGCUUUCCAUCUGCGGCCGAGGCCUCCUGAUGCAUUUCCUCUGUUUGUUCCAGAGGGAUGGAUGGCAGCACCUUGAAGCAGACACACAUUGUACUAACUGGUGGGCAUUAUUCUGGACGUCGGAAAUCUGUAGUCCUGAGCAACAGCAGUAUCCUCAGGAGCCUCUGAUGGAAGUGGAUGACAUUUGGAGAGUUUCUUUCAAUGAGAAAAGGCCACAUACGCUUAAGAUGCUAGAGUUUAAACUCUGGAGAUCUGUAUAGUAAGGAUUGUUACACACCAAUGCUUCACCAUAUUUGUUGGAGAUUGGGCUAAAGAAGAAAUAGAGUUGAAGACAUUGUCACUAAGAGAUUGUCACUUCAGCCAUGCACUGAGACACUGUGAAAGCAAGCCACAGAGCCCAACAGCGUCAUAUGGCUAUGAAUUGGACUUCUGCUUCAGGAUGUCUUUUUGCAGGAUUCUUGGUGGUCUGUAAAGUCUUGCAAUUAACCUGAAGAGAGGCUCUUCAGCAGAGAUGUAGGCCAAGGCUGGUUGCAAGUACAAGUAUCAUAUGAGACUGCCAUGUUGGCAAGGAGAGAAUUCAGUAUAGUAUUAUAUGGACAAAAUGUAGCCUUUUCUGAAGAGUAAAUGUUCUCAUCAAUCCCAUAGAAUAACUUACCUUUUUUGCUAUAAGGUACUGUGGAAAGAGAUAGACAUGUGGUUUACUUAUUUGGCAUCUCCAUAGCAGAAAUAUUUCAGGAAAGCUCAAAUGAGAUGAGAUUGGUAAGAAGAAUCUGGAAAUAACCAGUCUUUCACAAACUACUGAGCAUUAGGCCUGAUCCCAGCUCAUGGAUCACAAGUACUCUCGCUGGAUCCCCUGUGUGCCACCUUUAAAAGCACUCUAAAAAAAGACCCUUACUCCCAUCUGCCUCCAAUGAGUAAGUGCCAUCCAGUCUGAAAGAGAGAAGAAUGCUUUUUUUUCCCUCUUGAUUACUUCUCUGUCCAGACUAAGACAUCAUGAGGCUGAGCUGGGGCAGGGGACAUGGCAAACAAGGCAGGCAAAGCAGGCAUGCAAGAGGGCAGACUGCCUGCUGCAUGAUAAUAUUGAAGAACCACUGGAAUCAGAAGUUCGGGCAAAGGCAGACUGCAAGAGAAAUCACUUUGAAGAAUAUAACACGAAAAACUAUUGAAAAAGGGGGGAAAUUAAUUUUUUAUAAUGAUCUGUAUUUUUGUUGUUCUUGUUGUCCUUACUGAAACAGGUCAGGUGUGCUAAAUAAAAGGCAGCAGGAUAUGCAUUAGAGAGAUGAGAAAACUGACAAUUUAUUUCAACAUUAAUUUACUGUAGCAACUCAUCCCUAUGACCAAAGGAAAUCUUUGGUAAAAUUCUAGGAAAAAAUAUGGCCUGUGAGAACAUUGGUAAUAAUGCUGAGGAUUACAGUGGUGCCCAAAGACUUCAGUCAAGUUAGGCCUAUGCUGUGUUUAGUGCUGUACAAGUACAUAGUGCCUGUUCAAGGACGUAGGCUGUAGAGAAAUCUACCCUAGAGCACCUUCAAAGCUUCAGCAUAACAGUCAUCUUAAACAACCAACUGUUUGUUGAGCAACUAAAUAUGAUAGCCGCUACCAGGUAGACUUACGUAUGCUGUCACCUUUACUGUGACAUCUAUUCAACACAUUUUCCAUGUCUGACACUUAGGUACAUUGAAGAACAACAAUGACUCACACAGGGAGGUUCAAAAUGAACUGAUGGACCUGAAAACGGACAGUGAAUUUGCCUCUUAAUCUGUGUUGACUGAAGAGGGAUCCUGGCUGAGGCUGAAGCCAUUCACCUAACUUUAGUUAAUUAAAGCUAGGUGAAAUAAAUUCUAGCCCCAGUGUCUUUCACCUGAACAGCAAUCAAAUUGGAAAUGACAUUACAGUUGUGAUGAAUUGAAUAUAAUAGAAAACAAACCUUUAUCUUGCCAAACUUUUUAGAUUAAGACAUACCUUUGCAAGUUAUGUGCUGCUGAAAUGUACUGCUCCCACGCUAGAGAAAUCAAGGGAGAUAAUCAGAAAAAAGUGCGCAGUAAAGAGUAUGUUAGUAUGACUGUCUUUUCAAAGUAGUACAUAUCUUUAAGUACUAGUUAGAAAGCAGCUUGUCACUUCCAGAGAUAUCUAAUAUUUUUUUUGCUGUUUCUCAGAUUGUCUGUGUUGAAAGAAAGCUCUAUGUAUUACAAAGCUGAAGAACUCAGAGAUAUUUAAUUUAAUAAUACUUUGAUUCCUGACUCUAUACAGAGACUUUUCAUUACUUUCAAUGCAUCUCUGAAGAGACAUUUGC